ACCCUAUGGAAAUAAAAGCCUGAGCUCAGACAAAUUCAAGCUUCUCUUAACCAUCAAUCACAGCUGUGCUGAUAUUCCAAUAUGAUUUUGCUUUUACACAACAGCUCAAAGAUAAUACGUUAAUCUUGUGUGACUUCCAUUUAACACACAAUAUCACCAAUUAUGUUGUCUAUUUUUGCACCACCAGUGAAAAUAGUAUCAAACGAAGGCAAGGCAGAAACAUCAAACUGAGCAAAAUACAGCAAUGGUGUUCCUUUUUUUUUUUUUUUGGAAUGAAUCGGUUGAGUGAAUGAUUCAGUGACUCAUAGGGCCUGUCCAAAUACUUACAUGACAUAUUUCCUGCAUUUUGCCCAAGUGUUUAAGUGGACAUGAAAACCUUUGACAGAAUGAUUGAAAGGCUGGUUUACGACAAGGUUUUGGCCAAAACAUUGGUAAUCAAUAAAUUGCGCUUAAGAGUGAGCAGUUAGGCUGGUUUGUGAUGACAUAAUGCAUGUAACUCAGAGUGCAAAUUUAUGACACAGUAGUAUGUCCAAAAUGUAUUUUCUAAAAUCUCUAUUCUCUAUACUAAAUCUAUGUUCAUAAUAAGAGUACAUAUUUUUGGGGUAUAAGAAAGUGAAUUGGGUAGAGGGAAUGAUUCAUGACUCAUUCAUAAAGAUAGUAACUCAUCGCCACCUACUGGUGUAACAAUGUCAUUUGCAGAAAGAGUCACUGUAAAAUGCACUGAGACUGGGAGUCAGUCAAAUUCGAGGACCAGACCAAGUAGUUGUAAAAAACAAAUAAUAUUUCAUAAGUGCAUAAUACUAAACAAGGACUUUCACUCAGAUCGGAGCAAAAACAGUCUAUAAAUAGAUGAUGGAACUGCAAAUAUGAGGAGUGUUUCAAAAAUGCAUCAGUUAAGCAACCACACACUUCAAUGCUUUGCUGUUUAUUUGGGUGGUCUUAUCUGUACUCAGCAGGAAAAGGCAGUUUGAGGAUGAGAGAGAGCUCCACAUCUCCCUGAGAGGAUUCAGACAUGGAGGGGACGACACACAUCAAAGAAUCUGGAUGGGGCUGGCUAUGCUUUGACUAAGCCACACCCCUUCUCAACUUCCACCUCGAGGAGGUCCCCAAAGCCAACCCAAUGGCCAAACAACACGAGAACAAAUGGGCUAUGGCCGGGAAGAGGUCAGGGAGCAAGGGGGCCACGGGGAUCCGGGGCGUGGGACUCGGGCCCCGGCCUGAGUCUUAGGCAACGGCUGGGACCCACAGGCACAGUUAGUUCAGCUUGGUUUUGCUCUCACCUCUUCGCUGCUUACAGCUCACAGUACGUACUGGUUCACACAGUUCGUUCCUUGGGUGCUCACUCGCUGUCUCUUUCUCCACAGGCAGCGGCGUAAGUACAGGGUUCCUCGGUCUCUCCUCGUGUUACCCUCUCGCUCUCCUUUUCUCUCCACAGGUAUCAACUUGGACACAAAGCACAGUUACUCUGCUUUGGAUGGCUUUCACCUCUGGGCUGGACACAGCGUACCGCGCUAUCUCCGGAGAUCUGAAGCACGCUCACAACAUAAACUGUACUGAACUAGGCUAGGACCAGCAGUCUCCUUGUCCUCCCGCGACGAAGUGCGUGAAGGCGGGGGUUUAUCUGACAGGACACACGGCAAUACACAGCAGCCCACAGCAAUAUACAGCACCACGUCAAAAUUAUAGGUUUUCACAGCAUGAAGACUCACCCACCACACUCAGUGUACGAAAAGGACACCCGUCUUCCUUCACUUCGCUUGGUUCGGAUCUGGCGAUGGAAUAUGCGGCCUAGCUAGUGAUGUCGUCGUUGUGACUACUUCAAUAAGUAUUCUUUCGGCUCUCCCACCACGCUAUAUUAGGGGUAGGGCCGCCCUCCUCCUCCUGGAGAGAUCUACACAACGCCAGGUCAAUAUACAGGGCACUUUCGACUGGCUCUUAGUACUCACAUCAAUGCCGCUUCCAAUCCCCUUUUUCACGUCGUCUCAGUUCGCCGUAUAAUCCGUUCACUUCUCAACCUUUAAGGUUCGCGAUGUCUUCACAAUCAUACAAUUCCAGCCCGAGGCCGAGAGAGAGCUAGACAGCCGCCAGCAGCGCACCAAGACGCGCACAACACAGUGCUUCACACAUACCAGAAAGAACGCUCAGACUGUGAAAUAACUUGGCCUUAAGUACUGCCUCGUCCAGCGUAUCCUCCAAUCACCAACCGCUCUCCCUAACUAGGCACAGGCGCAUCGAAUUCCCUGAUUU
ensembl:lncRNA